AAUGAACGCUGGCGGCAUGCCUAACACAUGCAAGUCGAACGAAGCCUUCGGGCCUACUGGUGCACGCGUUCGCAGCGGGUUGGAUCCUGCCAUGAGGUUUGGAAGAUCUCGGGGGAAGAGGUCCUGAUACCGGAUAAUCUCUUCGGACCAAAGAUUUAUCGACUUUGGAUGGGCCCGCGUUGGAUUAGCUAGUUGGUAGGGUAAAAGCGUACCAAGGCGACGAUAAUUAGCUGGUCUGAGAGGGUGAUCAGCCACACUGGGACUGAGACACGGCCCAGAAUCCUACGGGAGGCAGCAGUGGGGAAUAUUGCACAAUGGGGGAAAGCCUGAUGCAGCUAUGCCGCGUGAGUGAUGAAGGCUUUAGGGAUGUAAAGCUAUUUUACCCGGGACGAUAAUGACGGUACCGGGAGAAUAAGCUCCGGCUAACUACGUG
rnacentral:rRNA from 1 species